GAGGUGAAGAUGCAGCGGGCGGAACCCGGUGGAGCUAGUGGGAUUCGGGGGCGCUAAAGUCGCAGGGACAGGGCGGGAAGGAAGAUCCGGAGCGGGGCAGAGGAUCCGGAGCUGGAGCCCCCAGGGGCACAGGCGCUGGGGACGCCUCCCUGCUUAUACCCGCCCGUGUCCUGCCCAGGACCCAUCAGAGGCUCCAGGGGUGCUCCGGGGGAUGCUGCCGUACUCCCUCUUCAUCCCGAAGGACGGGUUUGGGAAAGGCCUCCGACGGCUCGUGGGGCAGCUCCUGUGGGCAACAUCUUUGGGGGAGGCACGUUUGAGUCACACGAUUAACCUCAGACCCCGCAGGUUAACAGCCGCAGAAUCCCAGGGUUGGCUUGAAAGUCACCAAACCACGCGAGCUACACCUGAAUGCAGGAGAUGAACAGAAUGCCAGAGACCAAGAGCGCACGUGGGGCCCAGGCAGAGUGCUUCGUGCAGUGACCUCACUUAACUGAAGCACCACUCGAAGAGAGGUAACGGCCGAGACUUGGGCCCAGGAAACAGGUGUGGCCUCACGGGGGCAGAGGCGGGGUCUAGCAGCAGAGGUCUGUGGCUCCAAAGGCCGUGUGCAAAGGGUGCCUGAAGUCCCUGUUGCUCCAGGAGGGAGGUGUAGCCUUCUAGAGGCCGAGGUAACUCCUAGAACAGGGAUCCGCAAACCUUUUCUACAAAACGUCAAAUAAUUGUUUUAGCCUUUCAGGCAGUGCAGCCUCUAUCCCGGCUCCUCAGUGCUGCCACGUGGCGUGAAAGCAGUCGUGGCCGGUACGUGAAGAAGGCUCCUGGCCCGAAUGUUUGUGUCCCCCAAAAUUCAUAUGUGGAAGCCCUGACUCCCAGUGGGAUGCCGUUUGCCUUU
rnacentral:lncRNA from 1 species